UAGAGUGCGGCUAGGAUGCUUAUGGAAGCACGGAGGGCUCCCUGCUUCCACUUUGUUUUCGAUGUUCGGACUUUCGAAUCGACGAUCGGCUCCGUUAGACUUGAUCUAGAGUAUUUGAAGUAUCUAGAAAAUAAAUUUUGCGAUUUUUCGAUAUCAUUUGCCUAGUGAUCGAAGUGGCUCAAAAUCAACGGCUGAAAAUAAAAAUCUUACAAAAUAUGAUGAUAUGACAUUAAAAUUUUAUAUCAAAGUUAUUGAUCUUGUUUUAUAUGGUAUAAAAAAUUUUCUAUCAAAAUUUCAUGUGAUUUGGAUAUUUCUACACUGUUAAACCUGCAAUCGGUUUACCAAGACCAUUAAAAUUAUUAAUUUUGAGCCCCUUCGAUCACUAAGCAAAUGAUAUCGAAAAAUCACAAAAUUUAUUUUCUAGGCACUUCAAAUACUCUAGAUCAACUCUAGCGGAGCCGAUCGUCGAUUCGAAAGUCCGAACAUCGAAAACAACUUGGAAGCACGGAGGGCUCCGUGCUUCCAUAAGCAUACCAGCCCACUCUAUAUAUAUAUAUUAUAUAUAAUUAGGCUACUAUACUAUCUAUAGUACUGGAGCUCCGGUACUAUAGUCCUGUAUUCGAUCUUAGGGUGUUCAAAUUAUCGAUCCACACUGUUAAAUAUGAUUUAGGGUAUAUGAAGUUUUUAGAAAUAAAAUUUUAGUUUUUUUCGAUAUCGUUUACUUAGUAAAUAAAUUAUGUCAAAAUGCACGAUGAAAAUUGAAUAAUCUUCAAAAUUUGAGCAUAGGACUUUUAAAUUCAAGAUCAAGAAUGUUAACCUUAAUCUAGAUAGUUUAAAGUAUUUUCUAUCAAAAUUUGAAUAAAUUUAAAUUCUUCUACACCGUUAAACUCCAAACUUGCCAUAGUAGUCAUUGAAAAUUGACAAUUUUGAAAUGGUUUGAUCAUAAAGUAAACUAUGUCGAAAAAAUAUAUAAUUUAUUCUUAAGAACUUCAUAUACCCUAAAUCAGUUUUAACGGUGUGGAUUGUUGAUUUGAACACCCUAAGAUCGAAACGAGACUAUAGUAUCGGAGCCCCGGUAUUAUAGAUAGUAUAGGAGACUAGCUCUCUCUCUCUCUCUCUCUCUCUCUCUCUCUCUCUCUCUCUCUCUCUCUCUCUCUAUAUAUAUAUAUAA
rnacentral:lncRNA from 1 species